UGGGGAAUUUUGGACAAUGGGCGCAAGCCUGAUCCAGCCAUGCCGCGUGCGGGAAGAAGGCCUUCGGGUUGUAAACCGCUUUUGUCAGGGAAGGAAUCUUCUGAGUUAAUACCUCGGGAGGAUGACGGUACCUGAAGAAUAAGCACCGGCUAACUACGUGCCAGCAGCCGCGGUAAUACGUAGGGUGCAAGCGUUAAUCGGAAUUACUGGGCGUAAAGCGUGCGCAGGCGGUUUUGUAGGACAGAGGUGAAAUCCCCGGGCUCAACCUGGGAACUGCCUUUGUGACUGCAAGGCUUGAGUGCGGCAGAGGGGGACGGAAUUCCGCGUGUAGCAGUGAAAUGCGUAGAUAUGCGGAGGAACACCGUGACGAAGGCAAUCCCCUGGGCCUGCACUGACGCUCAUGCACGAAAGCGUGGGGAGCAAACAGGAUUAGAUACCCUGGUAGUCCACGCCCUAAACGAUGUCAACUGGUUGUUGGGAAGGUUCCUUCUCAGUAACGUAGCUAACGCGUGAAGUUGACCGCCUGGGGAGUACGGCCGCAA
rnacentral:rRNA from 1 species